UGACCUCAAUUCUACAAGCAUUACAGAGUGCCUUCUAGGGCAGACGGUCCUCUCAGAGCCCUCGUUGCCAUCGGGAACAGAAGGAUGACAAGAGAUGGUUCCCUCGAAGAUGGAUACACAAACAAUCACGCUUUCAAGAAAAAGUGCUUCUUGGUCCAGGUGCCCUGGUGAGAGGUGGGCCCACAGCGAUUUCAUGAAGGAGGAAACCAGCUCCAACUGACCUCCUUCAGUUCCCUCCAGGUCCUGUCUUCCAUGGUGCCCUCAGCAGCCUCUUGACCAAUGGGAUUCAACCCCUACCACGCAAGCUCUUGACCAGAAGCAAGAUGGCUCCAACCCAUCUACCUUCUGAGAUUCCUCCCUGACCUGUCAGAAACUCACUCAUCUAGGCAAGUGUAUGCUACUCUAAGGACAGUGUCACAUGUCACACAUUGAUGAAGAUGUGCAUAAAGGAAACUUAUUGACAAAGACUUUCUCCUUAACCAAAACUGAGUUGGACUUCCCUGAACCUUCUUCUCUGCUAGGUCCAGACCUGGGGCUAUGUCCUUUGUCCUCUUAGUCCAACUUUUAGUAAAAAUCCUCUGGAUCAGUUUAGCAAAAAUCCCCCAUGCCUGCUAUCUGAUCAAUACUUCAUUCCACCCUUGGUAUCUUCUAACCCUGGCCUGCCUUCAGCAAGAAUCCUGUUGGCUCUAUCAAGAAUCUCUCUAGCCUUGAUAUGUCCCCUUAAUAAUUUUCUAUCUACUGACCCACCCCACAUCUUGGCUAUCAAUCCCCACUUUCCUUGUCAUCUUCAGAGAGGAGCCCAGUCUCUCUCCCUUAGUGCAAAACCGCCCUGCAGCAGACCCUUAAUAAAGUCUUCCGCAAAAAAUGGAAUAAUAUUUUUAACAUUCUACUCUGCUACUAGGAUCCCAGGAAGCCUGUUUGGCAUUAUUCUGGAAGGCUGAAUGUUUCUCUACCUUGUGGCCCAGAAGUUCCCUUCCUGGGAUGCUCUUUUUAAGAGGCACCAGAACCGUUGUAGCCACAGUGGGAGACAGAGGUCUGCACAGGGCAAUUCUAGGAAGGCAUCAUUCACACCACGGGCUCCCAGCAAGUGUGAACAUGGUGGCCCCUCUUCACAUGUGUUGCUUGACCUCUUCAAGCCUGCUUCUUCUAUAAAAUAAAGAUUUUUUAAAAUGUU